UCUUAUGAAGUUAGCGGCGGACGGGUGAGUAACACGUGGGUAACCUGCCCAUAAGACUGGGAUAACUCCGGGAAACCGGGGCUAAUACCGGAUAACAUUUUGAACUGCAUGGUUCGAAAUUGAAAGGCGGCUUCGGCUGUCACUUAUGGAUGGACCCGCGUCGCAUUAGCUAGUUGGUGAGGUAACGGCUCACCAAGGCAACGAUGCGUAGCCGACCUGAGAGGGUGAUCGGCCACACUGGGACUGAGACACGGCCCAGACUCCUACGGGAGGCAGCAGUAGGGAAUCUUCCGCAAUGGACGAAAGUCUGACGGAGCAACGCCGCGUGAGUGAUGAAGGCUUUCGGGUCGUAAAACUCUGUUGUUAGGGAAGAACAAGUGCUAGUUGAAUAAGCUGGCACCUUGACGGUACCUAACCAGAAAGCCACGGCUAACUACGUGCCAGCAG
rnacentral:rRNA from 1 species